rnacentral:misc_RNA from 1 species
AAACCAAACCAAAAAACAGAGGAGAACAAGUCGAUAUAAAAUUUAU